CCUGUAGGAUAAUGAACCCAGGAACAGAAGAAAUGUUUAAUUCUUUCAAAAAAAAAAGAUUUCUUUUGGCCUAACAGUCUGUCUGUUUAGGUGCAGGAGCACACACAUGCGCACAGACCCAAUGACCAGGGGCCAUGACCAUGACCUCUGACCUAAAGGCCAGGAAACCAUUGAACAUAACUUAAAACCCAGCCUUCUCACUACCAGCCAUGGAAAGAAAAUGGACAGUUUUGGAAAUUGACAACUUUGUUUUCUUUUCAGAUACAAACAGCCAAACCUGCAUGGACUAUCCUCCCUUCUACUGCUAGUCAACUAUCUCUUAAGUCAUACAUUUUUGGAGAAUCUGCAUUACCUUGAGUCACCCCAUCUCCUUCUCUCCUUUUUCUUUAAUGUGCAAUAAGUGUCUUGACUUGUCCAACCAAUGUUAACCCUCAUGUUAAGUCCAAGAAAAAUUUAAUUAGUUUGAUAUUAUGGAAAUUCAAACUCUGCUUCAAAAUUUGUUAAUUAUAAGUCACACAUAUUAUUGCAUUUGAUUUAUUUGAUAUUAACCAGUGUAUGUGUGUUAUUUAGCUGAGGUUCUAUUGCUAGAAUAAUGCUUUCUCUCGUAGAUUUAAUUACAGAUUAGGAAAUGAAGGUAUAUUGAUUUUAUUCUGUGUUUUAUUUGGUUAAUCAAUGUCACUGGUUCAUGAUGUGGUAAUGAAAUUGGCAAUGGCAACAGAAAUGAGUGAGUAUUCAUUUUGCAAGUGUGCAUAGUCUUUAAAUAUUCUAUAAGAAUAAAAUUAUUCCCUUUUAUUUGAGGGUCAGUUUUUCUCUCCACACAUAGGAAUUAAUUAGUAAUCAAUGCAAGAAUGCCAAGAAUCCUCUUUCUCCUUAAACAUGCCUCUAGACUAUAAAAACUUUUACAACUCUUUGUCAAGUGGCUGAUGCUCUUCUUCUGCGUUGUUGCCUGGCUGACUGCUGCUGCUUCUUCUGUUUUUUCUCGGCCUUAUCAGCCGUGAUAGUUGCUCAUGCGUUGAGGACGUUUUUUUAAUAUGGCUGAGAGAUGAUAGCUCCAGAAAGAGACUCAACUAAGGAGCAAAAGAUUGCAAAGAUGCCUAAGCCACAAGCCAAGCCACACCGUUUGCCAUUUGAAUAUAUGUUAUUUUCGUAAUCUCCUAUUUUCAUCCAAGUCUACAGCUUGCCACUGAAUGACCCCUCCCUGCUGUGUGUGUCCACGACGCGGCCUCAGCUAGUCUGAGACUGAGUUCAUCCUCUUAAGAAGCAGUGACCCAAAGUGCUUCACUGCACCUGCUGCAGCCUUCUCAUCUGGCUGUCACUCUGGCGACCCGAAGAUCUCUGAGUCUGCUGCGCCUUGCUGGGCGCUCUCCAGGAAGUUCGCUUCAUCAUCUGCCCUUCAUCAACACGGAAACAGUCCAGAGGAUUUCCAUCUUCUUCCACAGAAGCACCACAGCCGCUGAUGCACUGAAGAGAAACCAGAGGAUCCUUGACCUUCCACAACACAAGCUCAUAACAGAUGUUGUUGUCUGAUGGAGCAGCGCCUAUGAGAUGCUCUCCCGGCUUCUCGAGCAGCAGUCUGCCGUCUGUGCUGCACUCUUAUCUCCUGAGGGAGAAGAGGCUGAGGGUCUCUAGUGGACUGGAGGAGAAUAACAGGGAGAAGCAAAGCAGAGAGCUGGGGAUGAGAGUGUGUGUGGAUGCAGAGAGAGACUGAGGAGCAGAUUGUGACAGAGGUUUUGCAAGCCCUCAGGCCAAUGCUGGUGGCAACAAACAUCAUGUGCGAGGAGAAGAGCCCAGUUUCAGAACAGUUUCUGUCAUUGCUCCACUUCAUGCCCAACUUUUGAGUGACAUAAUCGGCACCAUUGAGAAUUCCCCUCUUGUCAGAGAGAUAAAGAGCACCAUCCAUCAAGACCUAUCAAAGAGAUAUGGCUCCACAGAGGAGAAAAACAACUUGUAUGUCUCAUCAGCCUCAGACCCCAGGUUUAAACGUCUGCUCUUCCUGUUCCAAGAUAUGCGGAGAUGUAUUCCUAAACCUCUUUGGCAUGUCAAUGGCUGCUGUUCUGCAGAGGAUGUUGCAGACUUGGAAAUGCAGAAUAAUUCUCAAGAGAGCACUACUGAGCACAGUGCUGCUGCAUGUCUUGACACCAGUGACGAUGGAUGAUUGAAUGAAUGAUCCCUCCACUGCACACACACCAAAGAAGAGGAAUUCUGCACCUGCUGACCUCCUCAGGAAGACAUUCAAGAGCACCAGAGCUCCCUUGUUGUUGGCUACUUUCAUAGCUGACUAUGAAAGUAGCCAACAAAGUAGCUGACUAAUGUGUCUGCAGGAAAAAUCUUUUUGACUGCUGUUGACAUAAUUAGGAGUGUAAAGGUUUUGACACCGAGACUGAAACCACGACACAAAUGUCCACAGUCUCGAGGCGCGGUUCCGUCUUUUAUGUGAAGUCAAUUUAUGAAGUUAAUCUACCGUCAUAGUGUUCUUCAGUGUUUUUGAUAUUGCAAAUUGUAACUGAUUUAAUAAAACCCAGAAUUUUUUUCCCUGUCUUGUCUUAUUAGAGUGAUGGCACAUGUGGACAAGUUGCAGUCAGUGUGUGUAGUGUGUUAAGCUAAGACUCUAUUGUUUCAUCUCAGUUGUCAAAUUCUGUGAAACUGACACCACAGUUCCAUAAUAAAUACAUAAAUAAAUACAUGCUUUUUGCCUGUU